ACGGGAGGCAGCAGUGGGGGAUAUUGCGCAAUGGGGGGAACCCUGACGCAGCAACGCCGCGUGAAGGAUGAAGGUCUUCGGAUUGUAAACUUCUUUUAUUAAGGACGAAGAAAGUGACGGUACUUAAUGAAUAAGCUCCGGCUAACUACGUGCCAGCAGCCGCGGUAAUACGUAGGGAGCAAGCGUUGUCCGGAUUUACUGGGUGUAAAGGGUGCGUAGGCGGCUUUGCAAGUCAGAUGUGAAAUCUAUGGGCUCAACCCAUAGCCUGCAUUUGAAACUGCAGAGCUUGAGUGAAGUAGAGGCAGGCGGAAUUCCCCGUGUAGCGGUGAAAUGCGUAGAGAUGGGGAGGAACACCAGUGGCGAAGGCGGCCUGCUGGGCUUUAACUGACGCUGAGGCACGAAAGCGUGGGUAGCAAACAGGAUUAGAUACCCUGGUAGUCCACGCUGUAAACGAUGAUUACUAGGUGUGGGGGGUCUGACCCCUUCCGUGCC
rnacentral:rRNA from 1 species